CUUGUUAAUUAUUUGCUUCUCUUGAUCUCUUAAAUAGUUUUUGGACUGUUUCUGUGAAUCAAAUGGGUAGUAACCAGGUGUGGAAACAUUCUGUUAUGGUUUGUGCUGCAAUCACAACACACCAAUAUGUAUCUGCUGAGCAGAUUGUGAAUGGCAUGCAUCAGGCAAAGGCAGAAGGAGCUGAUAUAGUGGAGCUUAGGCUUGACUGCAUCACCAAUUUCCACUCUCACCAUGACCUCAAAAUCAUUCUCCAAAAUAAGCCACUACCCGUGCUUAUUGUUAACCGACCAAAAUGGGAAGGUGGUUUGUACGAGGGCGAUGAGAACAAGCGGUUGGAAGCAUUACAGCUUGCUGUGGAAUUGAGUGCUGAUUUCAUAGACGUUGAGCUGAAGGCAGCUUCUUGUCUUCCAACCUUGGUGGAACAUAUGAGAAAUCAUAAUAGUCAUGGCAAAAUCAUUGUUUCCUGCUAUGUGGAUGGCACCACCCCUCCGCAUGAAGUACUACUUCAACUUGUUGAACUAAUGCAAGCUACUGGAGCAGAUAUCAUCAAACUUGUCACACUUGCAGCUGAUAUAACCGAAAUUAAAAGAAUUUUUAGCUUGUUUCUCUAUUGCCAGGUACCGUUGAUUGCUUAUUCUGUUGGAGAAAGAGGAUUAAUAAGCCAGCUUCUGAGUCCAAAAUUUGGCGGGUUCUUUGUCUAUGGAUCAUUGGCAGGAAAUCCAAUCCCUGGUUUGCCUUCUCUUGACAGUAUCCAAGAAGCCUAUAAAUUGGAACAUGUAAAUGCAGAUACUAAAGUUUUUGGGCUCAUCUCAAAACCAGUUAGCCACAGCAGAGGCCCUAUAUUGCAUAAUCCUUCCUUCAAAGAUGUAAACUAUAAUGGAAUCUAUGUCCCCAUGUUUGUUGAUGAUCUUAAAAAGUUCUUUAGUACCUAUCCAAGCCCUGAUUUUAGUGGUUUUAGUGUUGGGAUUCCAUAUAAGGAAGAAGUGCUAAGGUUUUGCGAUGAAGUCCAUCCACUUGCUCAGUCUAUAGGAGCAGUUAAUACUAUAAUAAGGAGACCAAGAGAUGGAAAACUUGUUGGUUAUAAUACAGAUUGUGAGGCUGCAAUUACUGCAAUUGAGGAUGCACUCAUUGAGCAUGGUUGCAAUGAUGGUGAAGCAUCUUUAGGUUCACCCCUUGCUGGACGAUUGUUUGUGCUAGUUGGUGCGGGAGGUGCAGGGAAAGCACUGGCAUUUGGUGCUAAAAGCAGAGGAGCUCGUCUAGUCAUCUUUGACAUUGAUUUUGAUAGAGCAAAAUCUCUUGCUUGUGCUGUAUUUGGUGAAGCUCAGCCUUUCAAAGAGUUGGUCAACUUUCAGCCAGAGAAAGGGGCAAUUCUUGCGAAUGCAACACCUGUAGGAAUGCAUCCCAAUACAGACAGAAUUCCUGUGGCAGAGGUUCUACACCCUUUAUUCAAGCUACUUUGGAAGACUACCGGUUAGUCUUUGAUGCUGUGUAUACUCCAAGAAGAACCAGAUUGUUGAACGAAGCGGAUGCUGCAGGAGCAAUAACUGUGGCUGGGGUAGAAAUGUUCCUAAGGCAGGCCAUUGGUCAGUUCAAUCUUUUCACUGGCCUAGAAGCACCUGAAGAAUUUAUGCGGGAAAUUGUUUUAUCCAAAUUUUGAAGGCGCCGCUUUCAUAAAUUGAUCCUACAACUUGAAGGAGGCUGCAUGCCUGCACCUAUCAAGAAAUUCUUGUAUCACAUUGCAUAACAUUUUUCUUUAAAAAAAAUCCCUUAUUUUUAGUUGGGACGACAACUAUAAUGCAACAUAAUAAAUUGAAAUAAUAGGCAAAAUAGCAAAAGUUGUUGUGGGCGCAGCUGAAAGACAUGGUUCAACUUAAUUUGUGGUUUUAGGAAUAAAAAUGUUGUGAUUCUCUGAAGAAGAAAAAAAUGUUGUCAUAGCUUCAUAGGUAAUAUUAACUUGGGCCUUACACAAAAAAAUGUUGUUAUAUGGUUGUUGUGUGUGCCA